UACGUAGGCAGCAAGCGUUGUUCGGAAUCACUGGGCGUAAAGAGUUCGUAGGCGGACCAAUUAGUAUAGGGUUAAAUCCCGGGGCCUAACCCCGGACCUGCUCUGUAAACGGUUGGUCUAGAGUAUUGGAGAGGAUAGCGGAAUACCUGGUGUAGAGGUGAAAUUCGUAGAUAUCAGGUGGAACACCAGAGGCGAAGGCGGCUAUCUGGCCAAGCACUGACGCUAAAGAACGAAAGCAUGGGGAGCAAACAGG
rnacentral:rRNA from 1 species